UGUGUAGGCGGUUGCUUAAGUUUGGUGUGAAAUCUCCCGGCUCAACUGGGAGGGUGCGCCGAAUACUGAGUGACUAGAGUGCGGGAGAGGAGAGUGGAAUUCCUGGUGUAGCGGUGAAAUGCGUAGAUAUCAGGAGGAACACCGGUGGUGUAGACGGCUCUCUGGACCGUAACUGACGCUGAGACACGAAAGCGUGGGUAGCAAACAGGAUUAGAUACCCUGGUAGUCCACGCCCUAAACGAUGCAUAUUUGGUGUGGGCAGUUCAGUCUGUCCGUGCCGGAGCUAACGCGUUAAAUAUGCCGCCUGGGGAUACAGUCGCAAGGCUAGAA
rnacentral:rRNA from 1 species